GCCCGUAUGGUGAAACGGUAGCCACGCUGGAUUCAAGAUCCAGUUCCUUCGGGAGUGGGGGUUCGACUCCCUCUACGGGCACCA
rnacentral:tRNA from 1 species